UGGGCGUAAGCGUGCGUAGGUGGUCGUUUAAGUCCGUUGUGAAAGCCCUGGGCUCAACCUGGGAACUGCAKUGGAUACUGGRCGACUAGAGUGUGGUAGAGGGUARCGGAAUUCCUGGUGUAGCAGUGAAAUGCGUAGAGAUCAGGAGGAACAUCCAUGGCGAAGGCAGCUACCUGGACCAACACUGACACUGAKGCACGAAAGCGUGGGGAGCAAACAGGAUUAGAUACCCUGGUAGUCCACGCCCUAAACGAUGCSAACUGGAUGUUGGGUGCAAUUUGGCACGCAGUAUCGAAGCUAACGCGUUAAGUUCYCCGCCUGGGGAGUACGGUCGCAAGACUGAAACUCAAAGGAAUUGGCGGGGGAGCACA
rnacentral:rRNA from 1 species